CCCUUAGAUGUUCUGGGCUGCACGCGCGCUACACUGAUGCAUCCAACAAGUUUUUUCCUUGUUCGAGAGGGCUAGGUAAUCUUUUGAGAAUGCAUCGUGAUGGGGAUAGAUUAUUGCAAUUAUUAAUCUUCAACGAGGAAUGCCUAGUAGGCGCAAGUCAUCAGCUUGCGUCGAUUACGUCCCUGCCCUUUGUACACACCGCCCGUCGCUCCUACCGAUUGGGUGUGCUGGUGAAAUGUUCGGAUCGGCCGUUUGUCGCGGUUUCCGCGUCAUGUGGCUGAGAAGUUCAUUAAACCCUCCCACCUAGAGGAAGGAGAAGUCGUAACA
rnacentral:rRNA from 1 species